GGUAAAAUGGCUGAGGUUUAAGCAUUAGACUGUAAAUCUAAAGACAGAGGGUAGUUCCUCUUUUUACCA
rnacentral:tRNA from 1 species